AUUGCUUCUCGGCCUUUUGGCUAAGAUCAAGUGUAGCAUCAUAUUACUUGCAAUUAAUGAAAAAUCUCCCUCAUUUUUUCAAAUUCUUAUGUAUCUUAU
rnacentral:snRNA from 1 species